rnacentral:rRNA from 1 species
GAUGAACGCUAGCGAUAGGCUUAACACAUGCAAGUUGAGGGGCAGCACAAGGUAGCUUGCUCUCUGGGUGGCGACCGGCGCACGGGUGCGUAACGCGUAUGCAACUUGCCCUAUACAGGAGGAUAACCCGUCGAAAGACGGACUAAUACUGCGUAUGCUCACAACUUGGCAUCAAGUGGUGAGGAAAGAAAUUCGGUAUAGGAUAGGCAUGCGUCCCAUUAGCUUGUUGGUGAGGUAACGGCUCACCAAGGCAACGAUGGGUAGGGGAACUGAGAGGUUUAUCCCCCACACUGGUACUGAGACACGGACCAGACUCCUACGGGAGGCAGCAGUGAGGAAUAUUGGUCAAUGGGCGCGAGCCUGAACCAGCCAAGUCGCGUGAAGGAUGACUGUCUUAUGGAUUGUAAACUUCUUUUAUACGGGAAUAACAAGAGUCACGUGUGACUCCCUGCAUGUACCGUAUGAAUAAGCAUCGGCUAACUCCGUG